rnacentral:rRNA from 1 species
UAAGACAGAGGGGGCAAGCGUUGCUCGGAAUCACUGGGCGUAAAGGGCGCGUAGGCGGGGUGGCAAGUCAGUCGUGAAAUCCUUCGGCUCAACCGAAGAACGUCGGCUGAUACUGCUGCUCUUGAGGAGUGUAGAGGAGACUGGAAUUCCCGGUGUAGCGGUGAAAUGUGUAGAGAUCGGGAGGAACACCGGUGGCGAAGGCGGGUCUCUGGGCAUUUCCUGACGCUGAGGCGCGAAAGCGUGGGGAGCAAACGGGAUUAGAUACCCCGGUAGUCCACGCUGUAAACGAUGAAGACUAGGUGUGGGGAGGUUAGUCCUUUCCGUGCCGCAGCUAACGCAUUAAGUCUUCCGCCUGGGGAGUACGGCCGCAAGGUUGAAACUUAAAGGAAUUGACGG